GGUGCCAAUUCAAUCAACAAGACCUAAGCCGAUUCAGUGACUUGAUGAAGUCAGUGGGAGGAUUGUGGUCUACUGAUUGAUCUUUUUCUCUCUCUUCUUUUCUAAAUCGAUUAAACUCUCUAAAUUAUUAGGUCCCUAAAAUGAGCUAGUUAUGGUGAUAACUAGAUCAUAGCCUCUCAUUAAGGUGAAUGAUAAUGGUCC
rnacentral:lncRNA from 1 species